CCUACGGGAGGCAGCAGUGAGGAAUAUUGGUCAAUGGGCGCGAGCCUGAACCAGCCAAGUAGCGUGAAGGAUGACUGCCCUACGGGUUGUAAACUUCUUUUAUAAAGGAAUAAAGUGAGGCACGUGUGCCUUUUUGUAUGUACUUUAUGAAUAAGGAUCGGCUAACUCCGUGCCAGCAGCCGCGGUAAUACGUAGGUGGCAAGCGUUGUCCGGAUUUAUUGGGUGUAAAGGGCGUGUAGCCGGGCUGACAAGUCAGAUGUGAAAUCCGGGGGCUCAACCCCCGAACUGCAUUUGAAACUGUUGGUCUUGAGUAUCGGAGAGGCAGGCGGAAUUCCUGGUGUAGCGGUGAAAUGCGUAGAUAUUACGCAGAACUCCGAUUGCGAAGGCAGCAUACCGGCGCCCAACUGACGCUGAAGCACGAAAGCGUGGGUAUCGAACAGGAUUAGAUACCCUGGUAGUC
rnacentral:rRNA from 1 species